AUUUUCUUUUUCGAUGGGGGAUUUUCAUAGAGAAAAGGCAUGAUUUUUGUGUUAAGUGAGGGAUAUUUGCAAAGGAAAGGCGUGAUUUUUGGGUUACAUGGGGGAUUUUUGAAGAGAAAAUGUAUGAUUUUCAGUUAAAUCGCGGCAUCUCUAAGAGAAAAUGCCUGAUGUUUGCAUUAAAUGUGUGAUUUUCAGGUUACGUGGGAGAUUUUUGUAGAGAAAAUGUGUGAUUUGGGGUUAAAUGAGGGAUUUCCGAAGAAAAACUGUGAGUUUUGUGGUGAAGUUGCGGGAUUUUCGUUUCUGGUUUUUUUUUUUUUUUUUUUUUUUUUUUUAAGAGAAAAUGUGUGAUUUUGGUGUUAAAUAGAGUAUUUUUGAAGAGAAAAUGUGUUAUUUUGGGGUGAAAUGGUGGAUUUUUGUAGAGAAGAUGAGUGAUUUUCGAGUUAAAUCAGGUAUUCUCAAAGAGAAUAUCUGUGAUUUUUGGGUUUAAUGGGGGAUUUUUGCAGAAAAAUACAUGAUUUUCGUGUUGAAUCACCGAUUCUUGAAGAGAAAAUGCAUGAUUUCUGCUUUAAAUGUGAGAUUUUAACAGAGAAAAUGCGGGAUUUUCGGGUUAAGCAGGGUAUUUUUUUGUAGAGAAUAUUGGAGACUUUCAGGGUUAAAAGGGUAUUUUCAAAGAGAAAAUCCAUGAUUUUUGUUUAAAUGGGAUGUUUUUGAACGGAAAAUGCGUAAUUGUCAGGCUAAAUGUGGGAUUUUUGAAAAUGCAUGAUUUUCAGGUUAAAUGCGGGAUUUUUGCAAAGAAAAUGUGUGAUUUUUGGAUUAAAUCAGGGAUUCUCAGAAAGAAAAUGUGUGCUUUUUGUUUAAAUGGGGUAUUAUUGAAGAGAGAAUGUGUGAUUUUCGGGACAAAUCAACGAUUUUUGAAGAGAAAAUGCUUCGUUUUGGGUUACAUGGGGGAUUUCCAAAGAGAAAUUGCAUUUUUUUUCAGGUUAAAUGAAGGAUUCUGAAAAGAAAAUGUGUAAGUUAUGUGAGGCUAGGCGAGGAAAGGAGAGGGUAGCGGAGGCAGGACGAAGCAGGGCGAGGCGCGGCGAGGCGAGGCGAGGCGAGGUGUGGUGAGGCGAG
ensembl:lncRNA